UCUUGGUCUCUAUGAAGUCUCCUGUGGUC
rnacentral:piRNA from 1 species